UACGAAGGGGGCUAGCGUUGCUCGGAAUCACUGGGCGUAAAGGGUGCGUAGGCGGGUCUUAAGUCAGGGGUGAAAUCCCGGGGCUCAACCCCGGAACUGCCUUUGAUACUGGUAGUCUCGAGUCCGGUAGGGGAGUGUGGAAUUCCUGGUGUAGCGGUGAAAUGCGCAGAUAUCAGGAGGAACACCGGCGGCGAAGGCGGCACUCUGGGCCUGACUGACUCGUCAGGCACGAAAGCUGGGGAGCGAACAGG
rnacentral:rRNA from 1 species